rnacentral:rRNA from 5 species
UCAUGACUGGGGUGAAGUCGUAACAAGGUAGCCGUAGGGGAACCUGCGGCUGGAUCACCUCCUUAAUCGACGA